GGGGUUCAGCUCAGUGGUAGAGUGCUUGCCUACCAUGUAUGUGCAAGGCCCUGGGUUUGAUCCCUAGUACCACA
rnacentral:tRNA from 1 species